GAAAUGUAAUUUUAAAUGGGUUGAAAUUUAUUUUAAAUGGGUUGUUAGUUGAAAUGUCUUGCUAGCAUAAUUAGCUACAUAUGUUGUAAUAAUGUUACACGUGUUACCUAUGUUAAAACCAGCCCUUUCUUGGACACAAAAAGGAGCUACACAUAUGUAACACAUGUUUGUAACGUGUGUUACACUUAAGGGUAACACAUCUAAAACAAUUGUUGUGGGGAGUACAACUGUCCAGUCUAGAAAACAAAAACAAAAGCUAUACGACGUCAAACAAAUACGAAAGGUUGUGCUAACAUAUGUUACAUGUUUGUUUAGUGCUUGCAGCGAGGGAGUUGGUUCUACCGGAUAGUAGUUGUUUGAAGUAUAAAAACUCAAAAUUUGGGGAGUCUUCAAGUUCAGGGCAUAAUUGGGUAGAAGUUGCAGCCAAACGAGAAGGGAUCUUGGCAGGAAGAUGGAGAAACCGAUGAAGAAGGGGAACAAGAAGUCGAUGAAGGGCA